rnacentral:rRNA from 1 species
GAUGAACGCUGGCGGCGUGCCUAAUACAUGCAAGUCGAGCGAACGGACGAGAAGCUUGCUUCUCUGAUGUUAGCGGCGGACGGGUGAGUAACACGUGGAUAACCUACCUAUAAGACUGGGAUAACUUCGGGAAACCGUAGCUAAUACCGGAUCAUAUUUUGAACCGCAUGGUUCAAAAGUGAAAGACGGUCUUGCUGUCACUGAUAGAUGGAUCCGCGCUGCAUUAGCUAGUUGGUAAGGUAACGGCUUACCAAGGCAACGAUGCAUAGCCGACCUGAGAGGGUGAUCGGCCACACUGGAACUGAGACACGGUCCAGACUCCUACGGGAGGCAGCAGUAGGGAAUCUUCCGCAAUGGGCGAAGGCCUGACGGAGCAACGCCGCGUGAGUGAUGAAGGUCUUCGGAUCGUAAAACUCUGUUAUUAGGGAAGAACAGAUGUGUAAGUAACUGUGCACAUCUUGACGGUACCUAAUCAGAAAGCCACGGCUAACUACGUG